UACGUAGGGGGCAAGCGUUGUCCGGAUCAUUGGCGUAAAGCGCGUGUAGGCGGUUUCGUAAGUCUGCUGUGAAAGUCGGAGGCUCAACCUUCGAAAGCCGGUGGAUACUGUGAGACUUGAGUACGGAAGGAGGAGAGUGGAAUCCUGGUGGUAGCGGUGAAAUGCGCAGAUAUCAGGAGGAACACCAACCGGCGAAGGCAGCUCCUCUGGGACGUUACUGAGCUGAGACGCGAAAGCGUGGGGAGCAAACAGG
rnacentral:rRNA from 1 species